rnacentral:rRNA from 1 species
AUUGAACGCUGGCGGCAGGCUUAACACAUGCAAGUCGAGCGGGGUGAUGGUGCUUGCACUAUCACUUAGCGGCGGACGGGUGAGUAAUGCUUAGGAAUCUGCCUAUUAGUGGGGGACAACAUCUCGAAAGGGAUGCUAAUACCGCAUACGUCCUACGGGAGAAAGCAGGGGAUCACUUGUGACCUUGCGCUAAUAGAUGAGCCUAAGUCGGAUUAGCUAGUUGGUGGGGUAAAGGCCUACCAAGGCGACGAUCUGUAGCGGGUCUGAGAGGAUGAUCCGCCACACUGGGACUGAGACCCGGCCCAGAAUCCUACGGGAGGCAGCAGUGGGGAAUAUUGGACAAGGGGGGGAACCCUGAUCCAGCCAUGCCGCGUGUGUGAAGAAGGCCUUAUGGUUGUAAAGCACUUUAAGCGAGGAGGAGGCUCUUUUGGUUAAUACCCAAGAUGAGUGGACGUUACUCGCAGAAUAAGCACCGGCUAACUCUGUGCCAGCAGCCGCGGUAA